AUUUAACUAUCGUAACGCCUCACCCCCCUUCCCCCGGUCUCCUCUCUCUCACAAACCCUCAGAUCCUCUAACCUAACGCCGCCGGCUGAAAAUCAUCGCCGCCGGUAGCCCGUCUCCAAACCAACCCAAAAAUACACCAUGGGAUCCCCUCACCCCAAAUCCACCCUCAAUUCACCUCGAAUCGCUACCAAUCGGUUCGAAUAUUGGAUCAAAAACCUUCGGUCAAUACGCAAAGUCAUCCAAACUUUACCAAAAUUACACCCUAGAACCACCUCAUUCCCCUCUCUCAAACCCCCAAAACCCUGUCCCUCGAAUCUAACCAGAAGUGCCCGAAUACUAAUUUCUAGUUUCCGGCCACAACCCUAGUUUCUCCAAAUCCCACCAAAUUGAUACCACAUGGCCUCCUUGCCUACCUCGUGAUGAAUUUAACGUUAUGGGUACUCGAAGCUCAGUGAAUCGCCCAAAUCUUAAAUCUUAAAACGGUUGUUAUUCUUCUACUCUGUUUGUUUUUUCUGUCUCGUCUACUGUAUUUGUUUCUCUUUGACCCUUCAUUGCUUUCAUGUUCAAUAAAAUGUGCCCGCUUAUUUUUACUCGCCCAUUUCUUUAAGAUUUUAGGUGUUAGAUUGAGAUUUGUUCCUGCUGAUAACAUGUUCUGAUUUAAGUUUGUUCGUUCUAUUUUUUCUGUUUAAGUGAUAAUUUGUGGUAUUAUUUUUCAAUUAGGGUCUGGUUGUUCAAUUAAUUGUUUGAAUGUUGUCUGGCUACAAUUUGAUUAAUUUAGCAUAAUAAUAUGAUUAGUAUUGUUCCUAGAUUCGUUCUGUGUUUACCCAUGUUGAAUUUCAAGAUUUUUGGUUAAAUUUGUUAAGUAUAAUUUCAAUUAAUUAUUUUUAGUUUAGUAUAAUUGUUUUCGUUUUAGUUAGUUACUUAAAUUAAGUUCAAUUAGUCUGGUUGUUUGGAUCUAGUUGAUUAGCUUCUAGUCUUGUAGAUUAAUUAACUAUGGUUAAGGGGUUGGGUUAGUUAAUGCUAGUUUAGGGUAAACUUCAGAAUAAAAUGAGGGUAAUUUAGGUAUUCUUCAAGCAGAUAGUAAUACUAGAAUUAUCUAGAACCUUCUAGGGUUGGGAUUUAGUUUAGAUUUCAGUAAAGUUAGUGUCGUGACUUGACUGACAAGUCACAAAACAAAGGACUUAAUAAAUAAAAUACUGAAAAUAAAAUAGGGCCUGAUAUGAAAAAAGAAAAUUGAGGGUUUCCCUCAUCUUUGCCUAUAAAAGGCAUGUCCAAUGUCUUGAGUCAUAAGUAAUUGAACCUCCAAAAAAAAAAAGUUUUCCCCAAAAUUCUCCAAGUUUCAGCAGAUCUGAAAUUUGAAUUCCAAAUAUUCAAACCUCUUUUAGGGCUUAGAUAUUCAUAAAAGAAAAACAAAAAUGAGCUAUUGCCUUGAGUCAUAAGUUUUUGAACCUCCAAAAAAAAUCAUUGAUAUUUUCAUAGGACAUUCCAAAUUCUAGCUACUGAUCCAAGCUCCGGCUUUGUUGAAAGCAGAAAAAUGGACUAAGUAGUCCUUGUGUCGUGAUUGCUGAUUACUGUGUUGAUUUCAAGUGCGUUUUGUGAAAUUCAGUCAAAUUUAUCGAAUGUGUUGCUGGUUUUGAAAUUCUGCAAGUGAUUUCCUGGGUUUGUUGUGGUUUUGGGAUUGAAAUUGGUCUAAUUGCUUUACAUUUGGACUAUUGUUCGUGACUUCUUCAGCUGACCUCCAAUUCUUCUUUGUUUUGUUGUCUAAAUAUCAGGUACAUAUCUCGCAAUUACUUUCGAGGUAGCUGGUAAAAUGGAAAAGAAAUACAACAUGGUUCACAUUCCCUAUUUCGUGAUUUGUACUCGUUUGAAUGUUGUAUAUCAAUAGCCAGAUAUUGUUUGCUAAUAAGUGUUUGUCUGAUAUAGUUUAGGUUAGAUUUGUAAUAACAUGAACUUUUGAACUAUACUGGACUGUUAACCUGAAUUUGAGUUUAUUCGUUCUAAAAGAGAUCCUUAGUGUAGUGUAGUUUGAAUUCUUACAUAAUUGUUUAUUGAAACUUGAAACAGGCUUUCAAAUCAGAAUGUAGGCCAGGCUAAUGAUAAACUCAGAAAUGAUGAAUGUUUUAGUAGCAUAUUACUUUAGUUUUAACAUCAGUAAGUUGAUUUCGAAAUCAGAGAUUUGGCAUUUUUUUAUAAUACUGUGUCUUUGAGUUUACGACCUCGACAGAGAUGUUAGUUGCUGUACGUUAAUUCAUUGAAUUCCUUAAACAUUUGUAGCAAUUAAUUAGCCCAAACACAGUCUGAAUAUGAAUUUGGAUUCCAGCCAUUAGUAAUUCGUUAAUCUGAGUAGGUUAUACAUUGUCCCUGUUAUAAUAAAAUCAUAACACUUUGAAACAAUUUUAGCUGCAAUAAGAUUAAAAUUUGGUGUAAGGCUUGCUGAUAGAUUAAAGGCUCAGCCGCCUUGUUUUGUUGAUUUGGGCUUCAGUGACUUAACGAGUGGCCCAGGCUCAUAUCUGAUUUCAGUGUUCAUUUGGGCUUGGGCCAAG
rnacentral:lncRNA from 1 species